GGACAGAGAAAAGUCACCACGGAUCAAAGCCAUCAAGAAGUUGACUCCAACCCUACUCUUGAAAAGGUUCAUAGUAACUUGUUUCAUUUUGUUUAUUAAAGUUCUAUGACCGCUUUAAUACACUUGUCUUUUUCCAAGAGUGUUGAUACACAUGUAGGUGAUAAGGAGAUACAUGAUGUGAAACCAACUGAGAGAUCAACAUUGAAUGAUGUGAAGCAGCAAAAUCCAGAGCUUUUAAUUUUUUAAUCUAUCCCAAAGGAGGAAAUGAUGAUCACGCAUAGCUUCUUGUUACAAGAAGAACUGUCGGAUGCCUUGUUGAACACAGAAAGCCCAUUCUCCAAGAAACCGGACCAGGUAGGUAAUCCUCUUACUAAAUUUAUCUAUGAUGGAUAUAAUUCUUUGUUAUAUGAUUUAUUAUAUCAAGAACUAGUGAGAAAAGUUUAUGUUCAAAUGAGAAAUUAUUUGUUCAUAAU
rnacentral:lncRNA from 1 species